AGGGGGAGGCGGGGGGCGUGGGGCAGCCCCGCCUUUCCCCCGAGGAGCUGCCAGGCAGCCAUAUUGCAGAGCUGUCUGCGGUGGCGGCGGCGUCUCUCGUCUCUCGCGGCCCAUCGCUCCCUCCACCGCCUCUCCCUCCCUGCCGCAGCCGCGACACCCGGCGCCGCCGCGCAGCGCCCCGGCAACACUCAGGGCGGGAAGGAGCCGCCCGCUCUCGGGAAGAACAAGAAUUCAUAAAAGUGAAGAAUUUUUAAAGAGGGUGACAAAAAGAGAAGGAAAAUGCCGAAACCAAUCAAUGUAAGAGUAACAACAAUGGAUGCUGAGCUGGAAUUUGCCAUUCAGCCCAACACAACUGGCAAACAACUUUUUGACCAGGGUCCAUGUGCUGCAUCUACUGAGCUCGCGUGCUGCAAAUACCGAAGCCCACGCGCCUAGAGCCUGUGCUCCGCAACAAGAGAAGCCACGGCAAUGAGAAGCCUGUGUACCGCAACGAAAAGUAGCCCCCACUCACAGCACCUAGAGAAAGUCCACAUGAAGCAACGAAAACCCGAUGCAACCAAAAAAAUAAAUAAAAAUUAAAAAAAAAAAGUUUUGGUUGUUUGGCAUUGAUCGGCAUUUGCCAUCAGUAUGGGUCUUUAUAUCCCAUACCAUUCAGAAAUUUUUCUUUUUUUUUAAAAUGUAACCUUUCCUAGCACAGCUAAAUGUUUUUUCUUAUUUUUAAUUAUUUGCGUAUGUCAUGUCAGUAAGAUUUUUAAACAGGGAGAGUAAACUGAAGGGUUCAGUUUGCUCUCUUGAAACCAAAAGCCUGACAUGUUUUUAGAUUUUUGACAUAUAUACACUAGUAUGUGUAAAAUAGAUAACUAAUAAGAACCUGCUACAUAAAAAGUGAAAUUCAAAAAACAAUUUUUGAGCCUAGACCCUGCCCCACACUCAAACGUCACCCCCACCACCCCAACUAGGCCCCAAUCCACCCUAAACCCUGCCCCUGCCUAAGUUCCACACCCCACCUAAACUCUGCCACCCAUA